CCUACGGGUGGCAGCAGUGGGGAAUAUUGCGCAAUGGCCGAAAGGCUGACGCAGCGACGCCGCGUGGGGGAUGAAGCAUUUCGGUGUGUAAACCCCUGUUGCCCGGGACGAACAACUGGUUUCGACCAGUCUGACGGUACCGGGUGAGGAAGCACCGGCUAACUCCGUGCCCGCAGCCGCGGUAAUACGGCGGGUGCGAGCGUUGUCCGGAAUCGCUGGGGGUGAAGAGGGGGUCUGCGGUCCGUGAGGUGAAAGCUCGGGGCUCAACCCCGAGUCGGCCAUGCGAACUGGUGGACUUGAGCACUGUAGAGGCAGGUGGAAUUCCGGGUGUAGCGGUGGAAUGCGUAGAGAUCCGGAAGAACACCGGUGGCGAAGGCGGCCUGCUGGGCAGUUGCUGACGCUGAAUCACGAUAGCGUGGGGAGCAAACAGGAUUAGAUACCCCUGUAGUC
rnacentral:rRNA from 1 species